AGAGGAUUUGCUUAUGUUCAAUAUCCUUUCUUCAGAUGGCUGAUUAGUGAGGGGUGUUGAAGUUUGAAAUUCAAGUUUAUGUAAGAGAAUGUAAAGCUGUACAGUAAUGGCGACCCCAAAGAGAAAGCAUGAAAGAACCUUUAGAGUAGAGUUCAACAAUUAAGGCAAGUAGACAAGCCAAAGACCUCUUAAGGAUCAGGCUUGAAGAGAAGGGAGAGUUUGGGAAAAGAAAAAAUAAAGAAAAGCUGGAAGAAGGACAAGCCAUAAUGGGAGACAAAGCUUCGCUUUAUCUACAAAAGGGGGAAAAGGUUGUUUUUCAAAGUAAAAGAUAAAGCCAUCUGUCAUUUUUGGCCAAGCAUCUCAUGACAAGUCCUUCUGACAAGCACUUAAAGAGUUAAAGGUCAAGAUGAAGUUGAAUGGUGGCCAAGAUUAAAGGAGUCAUACCUGAUAUGUCCGUGAUGCAGAAGAUGCUCUCCAUAAUUUGGAUCGAAAGUGGAUUUGUGGUCGGCAAAUAGAAAUCCAGUUUGCACAGGG